CAGUCGCCGCGGUAAUACGAAGGGGGCUAGCGUUGUUCGGAAUCACUGGGCGUAAAGCGCACGUAGGCGGAUUUUUAAGUCAGGGGUGAAAUCCCGAGGCUCAACCUCGGAACUGCCUUUGAUACUGGGAGUCUUGAGUUCGAGAGAGGUGAGUGGAAUUGCGAGUGUAGAGGUGAAAUUCGUAGAUAUUCGCAGGAACACCAGUGGCGAAGGCGGCUCACUGGCUCGAUACUGACGCUGAGGUGCGAAAGCGUGGGGAGCAAACAGGAUUAGAUACCCCCGUAGUCCCUGUCUCUUAUAC
rnacentral:rRNA from 1 species